rnacentral:sRNA from 1 species
UUUUUUUUGUGAUUUUU